AGCGAACGCUGGCGGCGUGCCUAACACAUGCAAGUCGAACGUGAAAUGGGGCAACCCAAAGUAAAGUGGCGUACGGGUGAGUAACACGUAGGUAAUCUACCGGAGAGUCUGGAAUAACCGGCCGAAAGGCUGGCUAAUACUGGAUAGAGCGACGAGACCCAUAACGGGUCUUUCGGGAAAGGGAGGCAGCAAUGUCCCUUGCUCUUCGAUGAGCCUGCGUCUCAUUAGCUAGUUGGUGGGGUAACGGCCCACCAAGGCAUUGAUGAGUAGCUGGUCUGAGAGGAUGAUCAGCCACACUGGAACUGAAACACGGUCCAGACUCCUACGGGAGGCUG
rnacentral:rRNA from 1 species